AGCGAACGCUGGCGGCAGGUCUAACACAUGCAAGUCGAACGGAUCCUUCGGGAUUAGUGGCGGACGGGUGAGUAACACGUGGGAACGUGCCCUUUGGUUCGGAACAACUCAGGGAAACUUGAGCUAAUACCGGAUGUGCCCUUCGGGGGAAAGAUUUAUCGCCAUUGGAGCGGCCCGCGUCUGAUUAGCUAGUUGGUGAGGUAAAGGCUCACCAAGGCGACGAUCAGUAGCUGGUCUGAGAGGAUGAUCAGCCACAUUGGGACUGAGACACGGCCAAAACUCCUACGGGAGGCAGCAGUGGGGAAUCUUGCGAAAGGGGCGAAAGCAUGACGCAGCCAUGCCGCGGGAAUGAUGAAGGUCUUAGGAUUGUAAAAUUCUUUCACCGGGGACGAUAAGGACGGUACCCGGAGAAGAAGCCCCGGCUAACUUCGUGCCAGCCGCCGCGGUAA
rnacentral:rRNA from 1 species